rnacentral:rRNA from 1 species
GACGAACGUUGGCGGCGUGCUUAACACAUGCAAGUCGAACGGAAAGGCCUCUUUCGGGGGGUACUCGAGUGGCGAACGGGUGAGUAACACGUGAGUAACCUGCCCUUGACUUUGGGAUAACUUCAGGAAACUGGGGCUAAUACCGGAUAGGAGCUCCUGCUGCAUGGUGGGGGUUGGAAAGUUUCGGCGGUUGGGGAUGGACUCGCGGCUUAUCAGCUUGUUGGUGGGGUAGUGGCUUACCAAGGCUUUGACGGGUAGCCGGCCUGAGAGGGUGACCGGCCACAUUGGGACUGAGAUACGGCCCAGACUCCUACGGGAGGCAGCAGUGGGGAAUAUUGAACAAUGGGUGGAAGCCUGAUGCAGCAACGCCGUGUGCGGGAUGACGGCCUUCGGGUUGUAAACCGCUUUCGCUCAUGACGAAGCUUUGUGUGACGGUAGUGGGUAAAGAAGCACCGGCUAACUACGUG